UCAAAGGGAGCCGCGGUCUAGCCAAGAACAAAAGGUGAUUAGGCCAGAGAGAAAAACUGACCAAAACGAAAGUUUACUAGGCUGGAGACAAGGCUAAACCAGAUAUUUAAAGACUCUAUCCAGAUGCACUGUGCAGCUCAUGUACCACAGCUGCACACAACCUCCACAAGCUUGAAGCCCAGUUCAUGCUUGGAUUCUGCAAGGAGGAAUGAAGAAUUCUGUGUGGAAAUAAAGAACUUCUGAUGAACACAUCUGUUGUACCUGCCAGACUAAUUUAGGCAGCAUUUCAUACCAUGGAACUCCCAGACCCAGCCAAGCUUUGCUGAAAUGUAACAGAGAAUCUGUAAAGAUGACAAGUUGCCAAGAGCAUGAUUUCUUCUUUGUCCAGAAGCUGACAAAUUUGUUUCUGUCUCCGCCAUGGAAUGACAUUGUCUCAGGUCAGAGGGGAUGGAGAGGAGACUUUGCUUCUGCAUGAGGUCUCACCUGGUCAUAGGUGUAUGAAUUACACCUCUAGUAAGCA